GCGCGUCGUAUAGCGGUCACGCUCGGAGGAUGGACCCUGUUAGAUUUAGAAAGCUUCUUAAGAGAUGGGGAGGCAAGUCGGAACAUGGAAAGUGGACCGGAA
rnacentral:rRNA from 1 species